ACAUUUGGAAGCUGGUACUACCAGCCUGGUAGCAUGGCUGCGGCAUUGACGACGGAUUGUAAAAGAAGUCUGGAUUGGACAUAUUUCAUUUUAAUGAAUAGCAACGAGGCUAAGUGCACAGUUUGUGCCUAAUACCACAAACCUAACGAAACACUUAAGAAACGUGCAUCCCGCAGCACACGACAAAAUAAAUGAAAAAUGUGCCGCUCAAGCCGAAGGGGACACGAGAAAAGACAAGACCACGCCGCCGAAGCAAAAGCAAAGUACUUUAGAAGUGGUGUUUGCGAAAGGCAGGACUUAUCCAGGUUGUAACACAAGGAAGAAGUCGGAGCCAUAUUUGAAGUUCUUCAUUCUUCCUCGUGAGAAGAAAACGACAAGCAAAUGGCUGAAAGCAAUCAAUCGAGGAACAGUAAAAGAAGAUGGCUCCGUGGAACAUUCAAGCCAAUGGGAACCUAAAUCCAGGCACAUUUACGUUUGCAGCCAACAUUUUAUUACUGCAGCGAUGACCGGCCACCAAGCGCUGCUGCCACCACUGCGCAUUCUGGAUACCACCGUGCCACCUGAAAGGCAUCAGAGCACCUUGCAGCAUCCGACAAGGGCAAGGCCUUUCAUUUUAGGAAGGGUUUGAGGCCAAAGGAGGAGGGCUGAAGGCGGAUUUUGACUUUUGAGGCAGGGGGGUACAGCAUGUUGAUGACCCCGAAACGCAGUGACAGCAAUAAAAAUUAACUUACAAGAAUAUUCAUGAUAAUAAGUUGAAAAUGAAUGUUUGUUUUUUUUGUUUUUUUUCCCCUCAUAAUUCUUGAGGGGAAUUCUAAAUCAGGCUGCAUAGUACAGCUAUACUUUUCGCCAAGAUUGUCAUCCAUUAAAUAUGGUACGCCCGCCGGUGGCGUGCCAAUGUUGUUACCCCCGUCAAAAAUUGUAUCCCCUGGGCUGAGCCACUGCGCUGAACUGAUUUGCUUGAUUUCUGUUUUGGUGAUCUGGUUAUCUACAAAGUUUUAAAACAUGGCCCAUCCAUAAAAAAACAACAGCAACAAAAAAAAACAUGUUUUUUUUCUGUCAUAUAACCUAACACAAGUACUGAACAUCAAAAAAAAGGCAACGUUUUACUCUUUUACUCGUAGGAUGACCUAUAACUGUUAUUAGUAUAAUUCAAGUCCUGUAUGGCGUUUCUACAGUUUAAUAAACGUUGGAUGUCCAAAAUAUAUAGCUGUGGUUCUUUUCUGGCUUCAAGUAAUUGUUCAAGUCAACAUAACUCAUAACUAAUGUGUGCGCUCCCGCGGCCAGGGGAUGCAAUUUUUGAUGGGGGUAACUACAUUGGCAAGAUACCAGUGGUGGCUGUGUUGUACAAUUAGCGUCGUUAGUGGGGCAAAUUAAAACUCCGCUCAGCACUUCGGCGGCGCUCUCUGGCAUUUCAUGGUCCACAUUUUCAAUCCUUGGUUCUUGCUCAGUAGUUGUUGUCACUUUUGAAAGCUUACGUUUAAAAUAAAUUAAUAAAUAUAAUACUGUUAGGUACAAUAAGGUACUGUUUAUGCCACAAAACCAAAAAUAAACGACUGGAAACAAAAUGGCGGACAAUAGUCUGGCAAUGUAAAAUAGAAAUCAUGUAGGGGAUUACCUGUACUUAUGUAUUCUAAUUAUACGGUUUUACCGGCAUGAACUCCUUUGCUGCCAACACCAUUCACCGCCAAACCUUUCAAAUUAUUUGUUGAAUCAUGUGUAAAAAAAAAAAGUAUGUGAAUAAUGUAGAGUAUGAAUAUUCAGAGAGCAACGCUUCCAAUUUUAUUCAUGUUGUGAAAACGCUCAAUGCGAGGAAGGGAGGGGCUUCUUGAUAUGAUGUCAUCCUGGUGAGGUCACGACCCAGGAAGUAAAUCUAACUAAAACAUUUUUUUUUUUUUUUUUUACAGAUUGUACCCUAACUUUGACUAAUACAUUAAUAAUAAUAAUAAAGGGUUUUUUUCUGUUGUUUUUUUAUUAUAAAUGUAAU